GAGGCAGGAAUCAUGGGAGCUGUUUCUGUCCUGAUUGUGUGUGCAGCAGCUCUGUGGCUGAAUGGAUUCUGCUUACCAAUUAAUCAAAAUGGAGGACCUAAGCAGCAGCACAACUUGAUGUCUGAAAAUGACCCUUCUUUAAGAAGGGUAAUAGUCUUUCUCCAGUCACUGGAUUCCAGGUUGAAACAAAAAGUUAAAGAAGUACAACUGGAGAUGAAUGAAGUGGAAAUGAU